UGCAGUCGAACGAUGAUCUCCAGCUUGCUGGGGGGAUUAGUGGCGAACGGGUGAGUAACACGUGAGUAACCUGCCCUUGACUCUGGGAUAAGCCUGGGAAACUGGGUCUAAUACCGGAUAUGACCAUUCCGCGCAUGCGGUGGUGGUGGAAAGCUUUUGCGGUUUUGGAUGGACUCGCGGCCUAUCAGCUUGUUGGUGGGGUAAUGGCCUACCAAGGCGACGACGGGUAGCCGGCCUGAGAGGGUGACCGGCCACACUGGGACUGAGACACGGCCCAGACUCCUACGGGAGGCAGCAGUGGGGAAUAUUGCACAAUGGGCGCAAGCCUGAUGCAGCGACGCCGCGUGAGGGAUGACGGCCUUCGGGUUGUAAACCUCUUUCAGUAGGGAAGAAGCGAAAGUGACGGUACCUGCAGAAGAAGCGCCGGCUAACUACGUGCCAGCAGCCGCGGUAAUACGUAGGGCGCAAGCGUUAUCCGGAAUUAUUGGGCGUAAAGAGCUCGUAGGCGGUUUGUCGCGUCUGCUGUGAAAGACCGGGGCUCAACUCCGGUUCUGCAGUGGGUACGGGCAGACUAGAGUGAUGUAGGGGAGACUGGAAUUCCUGGUGUAGCGGUGAAAUGCGCAGAUAUCAGGAGGAACACCGAUGGCGAAGGCAGGUCUCUGGGCAUUAACUGACGCUGAGGAGCGAAAGCAUGGGGAGCGAACAGGAUUAGAUACCCUGGUAGUCCAUGCCGUAAACGUUGGGCACUAGGUGUGGGGGACAUUCCACGUUUUCCGCGCCGUAGCUAACGCAUUAAGUGCCCCGCCUGGGGAGUACGGCCGCAAGGCUAAAACUCAAAGGAAUUGACGGGGGCCCGCACAAGCGGCGGAGCAUGCGGAUUAAUUCGAUGCAACGCGAAGAACCUUACCAAGGCUUGACAUGAACCGGUAACGCCUGGAAACAGGUGCCCCGCUUGCGGUCGGUUUACAGGUGGUGCAUGGUUGUCGUCAGCUCGUGUCGUGAGAUGUUGGGUUAAGUCCCGCAACGAGCGCAACCCUCGUUCUAUGUUGCCAGCGGUUUGGCCGGGGACUC
rnacentral:rRNA from 1 species